rnacentral:rRNA from 1 species
GACAGAGGGUGCAAACGUUGCUCGGAAUCACUGGGCGUAAAGCGUGCGCAGGCGGUUCGUUGUGUCGGCGGUGAAAGCCCCGGGCUUAACCUGGGAAUGGCCGUCGAAACUGGCGAACUGGAGUGUGGCAGAGGGGGGUGGAAUUCCGCGUGUAGCAGUGAAAUGCGUAGAGAUGCGGAGGAACACCGAUGGCGAAGGCAGCCCCCUGGGCUGACACUGACGCUCAGGCACGAAAGCGUGGGGAGCAAACAGG